rfam:Musa acuminata subsp. malaccensis Doubled-haploid Pahang (DH-Pahang) genomic chromosome, chr1
GUGCAGAUGAUGAAAAGAAAAUUAGUUUGACACUGAGAUUUUCUCAAUGAAGUCUCAAAAAUCGAGCUUUUUAAAACUGAUGCUCA